UAAGCAUAUCAAUAAGCGGAGGAAAAGAAACCAACAGGGAUUGCCCUAGUAACGGCGAGUGAAGCGGCAACAGCUCAAAUUUGAAAUCUGGCCUCGGCCCGAGUUGUAAUUUGCAGAGGAUGAUUUUGGCGCGGUGCCUUCCGAGUUCCCUGGAACGGGACGCCACAGAGGGUGAGAGCCCCGUAUGGUCGGACACCAAGCCUUUGUAAAUCUCCUUCGACGAGUCGAGUAGUUUGGGAAUGCUGCUCAAAAUGGGAGGUAAAUCUCUUCUAAAGCUAAAUAUUGGCCAGAGACCGAUAGCGCACAAGUAGAGUGAUCGAAAGAUGAAAAGCACCUUGAAAAGGGGGUUAAACAGUACGUGAAAUUGUUGAAAGGGAAGGGCUCGUGACCAGACUUGUGCCAGGCGGCUCAUCCGGCGUUCUCGCCGGUGCACUCCGCCUGGCUCAGGCCAGCAUCGGUUCUUGCCGGGGGAUAAGAGCUUCGGGAACGUGGCCCCCUUCGGGGGGUGUUAUAGCCCGUUGCACGAUGCCCUGGCGGGGACCGAGGUUCGCGCUCCGCAAGGAUGCUGGCGUAAUGGUCACCAACCACCCGUCUUGAAACACGGACCAAGGAGUCGUCCAUCAGAGCGAGCGUUUGGGUGUAAAACCCGCACGCGUAAUGAAAGUGAACGCAGGUGAGAGCUUCGGCGCAUCAUCGACCGAUCCUGAUGUAUUCGGAUGGAUUUGAGUAAGAGUUUUGCUGGACGGACCCGAAAGACAGUGAACUAUGCUUGUAUAGGGUGAAGCCAGAGGAAACUCUGGUGGAGGCUCGCAGCGGUUCUGACGUGCAAAUCGAUCGUCAAAUAUGAGCAUGGGGGCGAAAGACUAAUCGAACUGUCUAGUAGCUGGUUACCGCCGAAGUUUCCCCUCAGGA
rnacentral:rRNA from 1 species